GAUGAAGAACGUAGCGAAAUGCGAUAAGUAAUGUGAAUUGCAGAAUUCAGUGAAUCAUCGAAUCUUUGAACGCACAUUGCGCCCCCUGGUAUUCCGGGGGGCAUGCCUGUUCGAGCGUCAUUUCACCACUCAAGCCUCGCUUGGUAUUGGGCAACGCGGUCCGCCGCGUGCCUCAAAUCGACCGGCUGGGUCUUCUGUCCCCUAAGCGUUGUGGAAACUAUUCGCUAAAGGGUGUUCAGGAGGCUACGCCGUAAAACAACCCCAUUUCUAAGGUUGACCUCGGAUCAGGUAGGGAUACCCGCUGAACUUAAGCAUAUCAAUAAGCGGAGGA
rnacentral:misc_RNA from 1 species